rnacentral:lncRNA from 1 species
UCCAUCGCAACACCUCAACACCUCUCAACACCUCUCAACACCUCGCAACACCUCUCAACACUUCUCAACACCUCUCAACACCCCUCAACACCUCUCAACAUCUCGCAACACCUCGCAACACCUAGCAACACCUCUCAACACCCCUCAACACCUCUCAACACCUCGCAACAUCUCGCAACACCUCUCAACACCUCUCAACACCUCGCAACACCUCUCAACACCCCGCAACACCUCGCAACACCUCGCAACACCUCGCAACACCUCGCAACACCUCUCAACACCUCUCAACAACUCUCAACACCUCUCAACACCUCUCAACACCUCGCAACACCUCUCAACACCUCUCAACACCCCUCAACACCUCUCAACAUCUCGCAACACCUCGCAACACCUAGCAACACCUCUCAACACCCCUCAACACCUCUCAACACCUCGCAACACCUCUCAACACCUCUCAACACCUCGCAACACCUCUCAAUACCUCGCAACACCUCUCAACACCCCGCAACACCCCUCAACACCUCGCAACACCUCGCAACACCUCGCAACACCUCUCAACACCUCUCAACAACUCUCAACACCUCUCAACACCUCGCAACACCUCUCAACAACUCUCAAUACCUCGCAACACCUCUCAACACCCCGCAACACCCCUCAACACCUCUCAACACCUCGCAACACCUCUCAACACCUCGCAACACCUCCCAACACCUCCCAACACCUCAGAGCUGUAAGGAUGUUACGACACUUUUGGGGUUGUGUGGUGUUUCUGGAUCCUUCAGGUGUGCAGUGAUGGGUGAGCUCAGCUGCUCCAGUGCAUCAUGGGGGAGAGAGGGUGUGAAGGCUCUCGUGCUCUAUUCGCUUCUAGUAGUCGUACACACAUCCCAUGCCCAGCCUCCCCUCCCUCUCUCCCUACUGGCCAAAAUCAUUGUCCCCCCUCCCUGGCACGCUCUGCCCCUGUCGCAGGCUGAUCUUGGCCCACUGUUCUCCAACUCCAGCCCCUUCGCCUUCACCCAGUCCCUGCUCAUGGUGCCUCCGGCUGGGACAGCCUCCAAAGCGGGGGUCCGGGCUUCAUUCGGGCCUUACUCUGUCAGCCAGGUAAAUCAACUGGGAUAGGGAUCCUUGACAAUCAGCAGAAUGCUGUAGAUCUCGACUUAAACGUUUGGAGAAUUAGUUCCAUAGAUUUCAUAUUAUUCCUGCGUGUCCUAAGAAGUUGCACGAUCAUAUGUAACGCAGAGCUCUUUCUCUAGCCCUCUCUCUAACAGUGUAACCCUCUCUCUCUCUCCUCAGCUGGUCUCUGGGCCCAUCCUCCCCCUCUCCCCUCCUCUGACUGCGUCUCUCCUCUCUAAACACGUGGAGAGAGAGGGGGAUGAAGGAGGAAAGGAGAGGUACAGCGUGCGGGUGUUGUUCCACGUACGAGGGGACACCAGCAGGGGGAGCUGUAUCACCCUCCACGCCUUCAAAGAGACCGAGGAGCAGAAGGCUUCCUGUGUCACACAGGUGUGUUCGUGCCACACACUAUAUGAAGCCACCGUCACCUGUGACCAUUCGAAAGACUGAAGCCGGACUAAACGUCUUCUUUGGGACUCUGAAUGAUGGAUAUGUCGUGUCGUGUGUUUGUUACACUGGCCAAUACACUGAAAUGUUCUGUUCUACAUAAAGUAUGACGCUUGUUCGAUAUAAAGUACGACACUUCUUCUAUAUAAAGUAUGAUACUUGUUCUAUAUA